UACAGAGGGGGCAAGCGUUAUUCGGAAUUAUUGGGCGUAAAGCGCACGUAGGCGGCCUUGCAAGUCGGAUGUGAAAUCCCUCGGCUCAACCGAGGACGUGCAUUCGAAACUGCUUGGCUCGAGUAUGGAAGAGGGUCGCGGAAUUCCCGGUGUAGAGGUGAAAUUCGUAGAUAUCGGGAGGAACACCAGUGGCGAAGGCGGCGACCUGGGCCAAUACUGACGCUGAGGUGCGAAAGCGUGGGGAGCAAACAGG
rnacentral:rRNA from 1 species